GCCUCUGUGGUGUAGUGGUAGAGCACGCGUCCCCGGGAUAGGGUAAAACACAGGCUCAAUUCCGGGCAGAGGCC